CACUUCAACAGCAAUUUGGACAGGGAUAAUCAGAGGUUAAUGGAGUUCCCCAGGUUAAAGUGCAUUAUCCAAAAUUUAAAAAUGGUGAAGCUGUUGUAAGAAAUGUAAAAGUUGCUCAGGAUUUUGGGUAUGUUGAAGAUAUUUAUCAAGUGUUGUGCUCUGCACUCAUUGAUGAGGAAACAUUGAGAAAAGCCAAAGGUGAUCUUUUACGAAUGACUCCAUUGCCAAUGAAUUCCAUGUUGGACAAGCAAUCAAAAAG